rnacentral:rRNA from 1 species
GGAAGUAAAAGUCGUAACAAGGUUUCCGUAGGUGAACCUGCGGAAGGAUCAUUAGUGAACAUAGGACGUCCAACUUAACUUGGAGUCCGAACUCUCACUUUCUAACCCUGUGCACUUGUUUGGGAUAGUAGUCGACCUAGUCGACGAACUCCUAUUCACUUAUAAACACAAAGUCUAUGAAUGUAUUUAAUUUUAUAACAAAAUAAAACUUUCAACAACGGAUCUCUUGGCUCUCGCAUCGAUGAAGAACGCAGCGAAAUGCGAUAAGUAAUGUGAAUUGCAGAAUUCAGUGAAUCAUCGAAUCUUUGAACGCACCUUGCGCUCCAUGGUAUUCCGUGGAGCAUGCCUGUUUGAGUGUCAUGAAUACUUCAACCCUCCUCUUUCUUAAUGAUUGAAGAGGUGUUUGGAUUCUGAGCGCUGCUGGCCUUUAUUGGUCUUAGCUCGUUCGUAAUGCAUUAGCAUCCGCAAUCGAACUUUCGGAUUGACUUGGCGUAAUAGACUAUUCGCUGAGGAAUUCUAGUCUUCGGACUAGAGCCGGGUUGGAUUAAAGGAAGCUUCUAAUCAGAAUGUCUACAUUUUAAGAUUAGAUCUCAAAUCAGGUAGGACUACCCGCUGAACUUAAGCAUAUCAAUAAGCGGAGGAA